rnacentral:rRNA from 1 species
UCGAGAAUCUUCGGCAAUGGGCGAAAGCCUGACCGAGCGACGCCGCGUGCGGGAUGAAGGCCUUCGGGUUGUAAACCGCUGUCAAUGGGGAGGAAGGCUGCGUGAAGAGCGCAGUUUGACCUAUCUUUGGAGGAAGGACGGGCUAAGUUCGUGC